UUUGUUCCGCCUUAGAGGCAAUAGAUGA
rnacentral:piRNA from 1 species